UACGUAGGGUGCAAGCGUUGUCCGGAAUUAUUGGGCGUAAAGAGCUCGUAGGCGGUCUGUCGCGUCUGCUGUGAAAACCCAGGGCUUAACCCUGAGCUUGCAGUGGGUACGGGCAGACUAGAGUGCGGUAGGGGAGACUGGAAUUCCUGGUGUAGCGGUGAAAUGCGCAGAUAUCAGGAGGAACACCGGUGGCGAAGGCGGGUCUCUGGGCCGUAACUGACGCUGAGGAGCGAAAGCAUGGGGAGCGAACAGG
rnacentral:rRNA from 1 species